UGUGGGUGUUUUCCAGCACGGAAAAGUCGA
rnacentral:piRNA from 1 species